CUCUUCAUGAUAAUCUUUAGUUACUUUGUAUAACGCAAUUACGUAAAGGACAUGAGUUUACAUGAAUGAAAUACAGUGAGGACAAUUAAUGUAAAUAGCCGUUUGAUUAUUAUUAAUCCAUAAAGUAAUUGGUCACAGUCCCGAUAGCUUCUGGAUAAAUUGUAGCGAAGGCUUUACUCAACUACUAUACGAGAUGUUUAACAUGAAGAUAUAUUUGUUGGCAGUUUUGGUAGUGGCUUUGUUUGCUGCCGAAACCUUUGCAUGCGGCCAACCCGGCACAUUUUGCAGCAGCGGCUCGUCUUGCUGCUCCGGAUUAUGUCAUAGAUUUAUGAGUAUUUACUCAUGUGCAUAAGCUAUUUUUUAAAAAUGAAUUAGUAAAAAUCAUGUGACAAUCACUAUUUGGCGUUGAAUAGUCACUAUUUUCACUAUUUCAAACCGAAAUUAAAAAAUGUAGUCUAAAUGUAGUAAUGUCUAUUGCCAACUGAAAAUUUAAAAAUUGUAUUUGAAGACAAAAAAUAAAAAUUUUCCUCA